GAUGAACGCUGGCGGCGUGCCUAAUACAUGCAAGUCGAGCGAACGGACGAGAAGCUUGCUUCUCUGAUGUUAGCGGCGGACGGGUGAGUAACACGUGGAUAACCUACCUAUAAGACUGGGAUAACUUCGGGAAACCGUAGCUAAUACCGGAUAAUAUUUUGAACCGCAUGGUUCAACAGUGAAAGACGGUCUUGCUGUCACUUAUAGAUGGAUCCGCGCUGCAUUAGCUAGUUGGUAAGGUAACGGCUUACCAAGGCAACGAUGCAUAGCCGACCUGAGAGGGUGAUCGGCCACACUGGAACUGAGACACGGUCCAGACUCCUACGGGAGGCAGCAGUAGGGAAUCUUCCGCAAUGGGCGAAAGCCUGACGGAGCAACGCCGCGUGAGUGAUGAAGGUCUUCGGAUCGUAAAACUCUGUUAUUAGGGAAGAACAGAUGUGUAAGUAACUGUGCACAUCUUGACGGUACCUAAUCAGAAAGCCACGGCUAACUACGUG
rnacentral:rRNA from 1 species